CCAGGGUCCUGUGAUGGGAGACUGAGCAGAAACUUUGCGAUUGGCCGGGCGCGGUGGCUCAUGGCUGUAAUCCCAGCACUUCCGGAGGCCAAGGCAAGAGGACUGCUUGAGCCCAGGAGUUUGAGACCAGCCUGGGCAACAACGUGAAACCCCAUCUCUACAAAAAAUACAAAAAAUUAGCCAGGCAUUGUGGCUCGUGACUGUGGUUCCAGCUACUGGGGAAGCUGAGGUGGGAGGCUCCCUUCAACCCGAGGAGGUAGAAGCUACAGUGAGCCAUGAUCACACUGCUGUUCUCUAGCCUUGGUGACAGAGUGAGGACUGAGACCCUGUCAAAAGAAAGAAAGAAAGAGAGAGAGGGGGAAAAAGAAAGAGAGAGAGAGAGAGAGAAAGAGAGGAAGGAAGGAGAGAGAGGGAGGAAGGGAAGAAGGAAGGAAGAAACAAAGGAAGGAAGGAAAGAAGGGAGGGAGGGAGGGCAAGGGAGGGAGGGAAGGAAGGGGAAUGGAGGGAGAGAGGGAGGGAGGGAGGGAGGAAGGAAGGAAGGAAAGGAGGGAGAGGAAGGAAGGAAAGGAGGGAGAGGAAGGAAGGAAAGGAGGGAGAGGAAGGAAGAAAAGGAGGGAGAGGAAGGAAGAAAAGGAGGGAGAGGAAGGGAGGAAAGGAGGGAGAGGAAGGAAGAAAAGGAGGGAGAGGAAGGAAGAAAAGGAGGGAGAGGAAGGAAGAAAAGGAGGGAGAGGAAGGAAGAAAAGGAGGGAGAGGAAGGAAGAAAAGGAGGGAGAGGAAGGAAGAAAAGGAGGGAGAGGAAGGAAGAAAAGGAGGGAGAGGAAGGA
rnacentral:lncRNA from 1 species